rnacentral:rRNA from 1 species
UACGUAGGGGGGCAAGCGUUGUCCGGAAUCAUUGGGCGUAAAGCGCGUGUAGGCGGCCCGGUAAGUCCGCUGUAAAAGUCCAGGGCUCAACCCUGGAAAGCCGGUGGAUACUGUCGGGCUCGAGUCCGGAAGAGGCGAGUGGAAUUCCUGGUGUAGCGGUGAAAUGCGCAGGAUAAUCAGGAAGAACACCCGUGGCGAAGGCGGCUCUCUGGGACGGUACUGACGCUGAGACGCGAAAGCGUGGGGAGCGAACAGGG